AGGUCAAUCAGAGCGCGGUCUACGUCGAGGGAAUUUCAUCCAUUGCGCCGGAAGAUCUGCGCGCGGCUGAAGAACUCGGAUACCGGGUAAAAUUGCUCGGCGUUGCGGUGCGCACUGAAUCCGGCAUUGAGCAGCGCGUGCAUCCCACCAUGGUGCCGAAGUCGUCGUCGAUUGCGCAGGUCAUGGACGUCACGAAUGCUGUGACCAUCGACGGCGAGGGCAUUCCGCCGAUCACGCUGGUGGGGCCGGGCGCCGGUGGCGCUGCGACUGCAUCUGCCGUGCUGGCCGAUAUUGCGGACGUAGCGCGCGGCAUUCGCGCGGCACCUUUCGGACGGCCCAUCGAAAAGCUGAAAACGACGACCAAGGCGCCGAUGAAGCGUCA
rnacentral:misc_RNA from 1 species